rnacentral:rRNA from 1 species
UACGGGGGGGGCAAGCGUUGUUCGGAAUUACUGGGCGUAAAGGGCUUGUAGGUGGCCAACUAAGUCAGACGUGAAAUCCCUCGGCUUAACCGGGGAACUGCGUCUGAUACUGGAUGGCUUGAGUGUGGGAGAGGGAUGCGGAAUUCCAGGUGUAGCGGUGAAAUGCGUAGAUAUCUGGAGGAACACCGGUGGCGAAGGCGGCAUCCUGGACCAUUACUGACACUGAGAAGCGAAAGCCAGGGGAGCAAACGGG